GUGCAAGCUAUACAGCCUGAUGCACUGUGCGAAGCACCACAUACCACCAGAGAAUAUGAUUUCUCCCCAGCUCCUUCUGCUCCUACCUAGGUUUAAUGUAAGGAAGGGGGAUGGGGAGUAAAUCCAGCAGCCCCUGCCCCCCUCUCCCAGCAGCCCCCUUUCACUCAAUAGCCCCUACCCCCUCUCACCCAGCAGCCCCGACUCACCCAGCAGCCCCUACCCCCUCUCACCCAGUAGCCCCCUCUUAUUCAAUAGGCCCUACCACCUCUCACUCAGUAGCCCCCUCUCACCCAGCAGCCCCUGCCCCCUUACCCAGUAGCCCCCUCUCACCCAGCAGACCCUGCCACCACUCACCUAGCAGCCACCACUCAGCCCCUGUCCCCUCUCACUUAGCACCCCUGCCCACUCUCACCCAGCAGCACCCUCUCACCCAGUAGCCCCUGCCCCCCUCACCCAGCAGCCCCUGCCCCCCUCUCACACAGCAAGC